AACGAACGCUGGCGGCAGGCCUAACACAUGCAAGUCGAGCGCCCCGCAAGGGGAGCGGCGGACGGGUGAGUAACACGUGGGAAUUUUCCUCAAGGUACGGAACAACUCAGGGAAACUUGGGCUAAUACCGUAUGAUGCAGAGAUGCCAAAGAUUUAUCGCCUUGGGAUAAGCCCGCGUCAGAUUAGGUAGUUGGUGGGGUAAUGGCCUACCAAGCCUGUGAUCUGUAGCUGGUCUGAGAGGACGAUCAGCCACAUUGGGACUGAGACACGGCCCAAACUCCUACGGGAGGCAGCAGUGGGGAAUCUUGCGCAAUGGACGAAAGUCUGACGCAGCCAUGCCGCGUGAAUGAUGAAGGUCUUAGGAUUGUAAAGUUCUUUAGCCUGUGACGAUGAUGACGGUAACAGGAGAAUAAGCCCCGGCUAACUUCGUGCCAGCAGCCGCGG
rnacentral:rRNA from 1 species